rnacentral:lncRNA from 1 species
CGGCUCGUCGGCUUCUACCCGCGCCUGCUGGAGGGCAAGCCCCCCAAGUACAGGGACGAAAGGCACGCCCGCCAGAGGAACGGCUACAACGCCAUCCUCACCGGCGCCGCCUUCAUGGACGGUGAGGCUGCCUUCCGGCGGUACUGGAGUGAGGCGGCGGCCCAAGGGAGGAGGAUAGUGGAGGAGAGCUUCAACUGCGAGGACGUGCUGAUGAACUUCCUCUACGCCAAUGCCAGCGGCUCCGCCAGGACCGUGGAGUACGUCCACCCUGCCUGGGCCAUCGACACCUCCAAG